GAAGCAAUACCGUGAGGUGGAGCAAAACUCAAAAAAUGAUCUCAGUUCGGACUGUAGGCUGCAACUCGCCUACACGAAGUUGGAAUUGCUAGUAAUCGUGGAUCAGCAUGCCACGGUGAAUACGUUCCCGGGUCUUGUACACACCGCCCGUCACACCAUGGGAGCUGGUAACACCCGAAGUCAGUAGUCUAACCGCAAGGAGGACGCUGCCGAAGGUGGGAUUAGCGACUGGGGUGAAGUCGUAACAAGGUACC
rnacentral:rRNA from 1 species